GGCGGUGUAGCUCAGUGGCAGAGCAAACGGCUCAUACCCGUUGGGUCAUUGGUUCGAUUCCAAUCACCGCCACCA
rnacentral:tRNA from 1 species